rnacentral:lncRNA from 1 species
GCCGGGGUAGCCAAGCAUGCUACGAGAGUUUGGGAGAGGAACAGUGGGCUGCAGCCGCCAUGGACCCUUAUCGAUGGUGUUCGCUUGUGCGUGAGGAAGCUGUCGCUCGUGUCACCGAGGGAAAUACCGCCUCAUUCUCGAUGAACUAUUCGUCGGAGUUCUCAGACCACCGCCAAACUGCCUCUCGCCAUGAUGUGGUCUCCACGACGUGAUCUCCGGUAAGUAUAGGGAACCUUUGUUUUGAUUCGCUAUCCGCUUUGCGUAGAACUUGCUAUAGAAAGGUAGCAUGCACUGGUACUCAGUUGUCGGAGCGCCUGCAGUCACGCCACCGCAUCCUGCUCACUCGCCGUCACGCGGGCGCUGCCGGAGGUAGAAGACUGAGGUAGGAGAAAGAAGACUAGUCGUUAGAUCUCCAAAUAGACGCACUGGAUUAGGUCAAAAAUAACGUUUCGCCCGGGUUAAUCCUAGCCAUCGAUCUUUGUGUUGGUGACCUAGAUCAAAAUGAAGAACACCCCUUCACCGGUUGUAUUAGAAUCGUUGGAUCACGGGUAAGCGACCGGGAUCGGAUCUGGUCAUCGUGAAUUUUGGACCGUGGAUCCUAGAUCUGGCGGCCUCAGUUUAGUACCGGUUCGGUUAGGGAUAGAUCUAAUCCACACCGUAGGUUGAGGAUCCCAUGGCCAGGGUGUGUUCAUACCCCUUCGGCUCACAAAUUUGCUAAAGAGCCCCGAGCAAAACAAUAAAACAGCCCACAGUCCACGCGUAGUAGUAAAGUAUUUUACUUAGGUCCCGAAUUAUUGUGAAUUAGACCCUGAACUUUUCCAAGAAAUCCUAGCCGCAGCUCAACAAUUCGGUUAGGUAUAUAAAAUAAAUCUGGUAAUCGGUUUUAAUAUAAAAUAAACCUAAAAACUUGUUUAUUGCAUAACUUACUCACUUUUACUCUGAAUUACUCCACUCAAGUUGUGUUAGCUUCGUAUAAAUAUUUACUACACAGUGACAACAUUAAUUAUACCAUAUCGCCUACUUUUAUAGUUAGAUAUUUAUUAACCUAUGUCUACUAGAUUAACUCUUCUAAUCAAAGCUAAAAUGUCCAUAAUUAUAAUUUGGUUAAAAUAUGAUCACUAGACAAGUUAUAAUUAAGAUUAAAGUUGAAUUAAUUAUUUUUUCAGAUUAUCUUUAUAAAAUCAACACAAGACUUAGUUUUAAUUACUUAAUCACGUGGGUCUUCCGAAAAUUAUACCUCUUUAACCAUAACUCUGAUUUUAGUAGUUCUCAAACCCACGAUCUCGUAGCAACAAUUAGAGUAUUAUUAUACAGUUUGUUCUUAUGUUUGGUGUGAUGUUAAUUUUGCCUAUAUCAUGUUUGUUUGAAUUGCUACGAAUAGCGGUGAUGUCACGAGAAUCUGAAGAUCAUCUUGGUACCUGGGAAUCUCAAGUCUAAGGCAAGUUGCUCACUUGAUUACUUUUAUUUACCCAAUAAUGUUCUCUAUAAUCAUUUUGGCAUGCAUAGGCUUAAUUUUGAUGGGACCCAAUAGGUCACCCUAGUUUGGUCAUCUUUACACCUUGUUCACCCUUGAACUUUUGGGUAGUCUUUGCUAUUGCUAUAUAUGGUUUUGGGAUCAAUAUUACAUUAUGAUCAUGUUCCAAUUAUACUGUGGUUUUAAUUAUUGUUCAUGACAAGGUUAUUAUGUUGAUUGGAACAUCGAGCUUAACUUGAGAAACACGUGCCACCACAAGGGUGGAAUGGGACGCCCUUGGCUGACUAAUUAGGAAAGCUAGUGGAGGACUAUCUUACCCGAAAGGGGCAAGGGCAGUAGGGGAGUAGGCGUGUAGGGAGGUUCUCGGGUUGACUUUGCUGCGAUGGCGGUCAGACGGGGGAUUCCUGCAUUGCUCUUACUAGAAACUGUAGCGGGUUUUCUGAAGCUAGUGAAACUUUGUAAAGGCCUCGUAGUGUUACCCUGCCUCGUCUCCUCGGUAGAGGUGAAUGGGACUUCUAGACCCCUUGCUAACCGAGUGACAUGACUUGUGGGUAAAGGGUACCACCUCUACAGAGUGUAAAACUGGUAUACUAGCCGUGCUCGCGAGCAGCUCAGGACUCUCGCAUGAUUAGUUUAUGGAAUUAAAUUCAAUUUGUCAUUUGCAUCGCAUUGUUAUUUAUUAUUAUUUUUGAUAUAUUAUUACUCUGGUUUGGUAUCUACUUAUACUUAGUAACUACUAAUAAAAUUUUGACCAACAUUAAAAGCGAUGCUCCACUUUAACCAUCCUCUUUGGUAAGCCUUACACUUAACCUGAGCUCCCACAUUUGGCGAGUUCAUACACAUUAUUCCCCACAACUUGUUGAGCGAUGAACGUAUGUGAGCUCACCCUUGUUGUCUCACACCCCCCACAGGUCAAGAACAGGUACCGCAGGAUGAGGCACAUAGAGGAUGUUGUGAUGAGUUCGUGAGAGGUUUAGGUCGUCGUCUACCAGCCAACUUUGGGUUGCUAGAUCGUUGUCUCCAUAUGAUGUAAUUAUUUAUUUUACACAGAACUCCUAUUAUAUAGUAAAGAUGUGACAUUCGUUUAUGUAGCAUAAGUCAUCAUAUGUGUGAGACUUGGUCCCACCACACUUGAUGAUUAUGUUCGCGGCCGGGUCUUGGUGCCCCCGAAACCUGGGUGUGACAACGUUUCCUAUAGCCUGGUAAUCUCUAUGUCCUUAGAGGCUCGAGAACAAGACAAUUGUGAGGAUGAUCAUACAAUCCGUCGUCCUAGACGUCUCAACUCCCUAGAGUAGAGUCAAAUGUACCCAACCUACAUUUGUGAACCAUAGCCUCGAACAAUCACAAAAAUAUGGGCAGCAACAUCAGAAACUGUCCAGAUUUUAAAGAUUAUAUUGUUUGACAAAAUUAAACCUAGAAUCAGUUCUCAGUAAUUAUAAGAAAGUUGUAGUAUAUUUUAUAGGCUUUCCAGAAAGUUAUGGAUUACUAUUUUUUGUGGUCUAAAUCUUCAGUAAUAGUUGUUUGAAGAAGGAGGACUGAAUCUAUGCAAAUCUGGACAGAUGCACCUUCCUUGUAUUGUUUGCCUUUGUUAAGUAUUGAACCAGCCCAAGAUGUUUAUAAAUAUUUUGUAGGCAAUUUUAUUAGCUUUCCAAAAAGUUUUGAAUCACAUGUCUUGGAUGUUUAAAUCUCUAGUUAUGGUCAAAACAAGCACGUGUUGUGUUGCUGUCCAGAAUCUGGAAAUGCGUAGUUAAUCACUUGAACUUGCUUUUGUUUGGCUAAGUAGGUUUAGCGAGUUCUUAAUUGGCAAACACUUGUAGUUGUUAUACUUAAGUUAGCAUGUGUCCUUAAUUGAUAUGGUUGCCAUUUCCUGCGUUAUGUGUGUAUGCGAAUUAAGUAUAAGUCGUGUACCCAUGCCUUAGGUGGUGUUAGAUUCAUGUGCCGAUGGUGUAUGCAUAGCUAGGCCACUUACUUUGUCGAUUCUGGUCCUUAAUGUUGAAGAGGGAGAAAUUAGAGGCCAAAGCAACUGGAUCAAUGACCACUUGAGUUUUAAAAAUAUUUUGAGCUUUAAAACAUGUAUUUUGAUUCAAACCCCUCUUGAUAUCAAAGAGGAGACCUCUUAUUGUGAAAACUGAAAUUAUACUUGUGAGAAAAGGGGAAAUUAGUGUUUGAUCAAAACAAGUUCCUUCAAACAGGUUUAAUUUGCAAAACUCAAGUGUUUUUCACUUAGUAGUAAGAAAAGGUUGAAAAUGGCUUUGUUUGCAAAAUCAAAAGCAAGUGGUGGCUAAAUGUUCCAAAUAUGCCAAAUCAUUUGAGAACUUCAUUUAGUCGAGUUCGAACUUCAAUUUGCAACUUUUGUCUCAUACUGCUUUUAAUUAGUCAUAUUCUAGUAGCUUUAGUUGUGUUGGCAUACAUUACCAAAAAAGAGGGAGAUUGAAAGGGAAAUGGGCUAGAUAGCUAUUUCUACAUGUUUUGGUGAUUUAAUGUCCAACACACUAUCAUGGACUAACUUAUGUGAUAAGUGUAUGAUAUCAAUUUCAUUGUUAUGCAAUUUGAAGGUUUCAAGUCUAAAAGAGUUUUAAAAAGGGUGACUAGAAAUGCAGCUUUGAGUAAAAUGGUAAAUCUGUGAGGCUUGCACCCUUAGACAUGUUGCAUAGGCCUAUUACAAUGUUUCUAGCACUUGCAUUUGAUCUCUUACUUUUUUCGCAAAAAGUGCCUUUUGGACUUUGUUUGGGUGGUUUGUGUCAAAAUAGGAACUCUAAUGAAAAUAUGUGAAAGAGGUAGGUUUCAUACACUUAAUCAAUUGGAUUAUGUACUAACUAUGCUUUUCUAAGUCAUAGGAAAGCUCACAAGAAAGGCCAAAUCAAAUGAAAGGAGUUAGGCUCAAAAGCACCUAAUUUGGGCUGCUCCGGGCAUCACCAAACUGGUCUGGUGAUGCACUGGACCGAGUCUAUGAAGUGCCCAGACUUGGGCUUUUGGCGGCCUGACGCACAGGACCGGGUUCGCGUGCGCCGGACCGCGUCUAUGGCUAAACAAUCGACUCUCAUGAUUUUUAUUUAUAAAAUCUCUGGAGCGGUACUAUGCGUGGUCCGGUGGUGCACCAGAUCGCAUGGUAACGACUAGCUCCAGGCGUCCAAUAGCUACUUCAUGGGGAGGCAACAUGUGGUGGUCUGGUGGUACACGGACCUGGUCCGGUGCCCCCCACCCCAAUUUGGAAGGAUACAGUCAGGAUCCUAGAGGCCACUCCCUGUUCCCGGUCCGGUGGCACACCUGACCAAUCCGGUGCCCUCGAGAACAACAAAUUUUUGCAUGGAAGGAGCAAUGGCUAUGGAGGCUCUUUGGCUAAAAGGACCCCCUAGGCGACCUCCUUCACUCACCCAAGCACCCCCAAGAGCAAUACUUCACUCCCAUACUUUGCAACAACGUGUUUGUGACAUUCUAGUGAGAUCUAGGCAUCGUUCUGAGUUGUUUGUCUUUCUAUGAGAGCGGUGUGUGGCAAUGUUCGUUCUUGUGUUGUAUUGUUGCGUGUUUUCUCUUGUGUGUGUACUUUAUCCCCUCUCUUUUGUUGUGCUUCGAGUUGUAACUCAGAUUGUUGUGUACGACUGCAAGAGGCUCCAAUUUAUAGAGAUUCCUUGCGAGGGGAUUACUAUUGAUAUAAGGAAGACCAUGACACUCAAGUAGAUCAUUGGAUCACUUGAGAGGGGUUGAGUGCAACUCUUGUCCAUUAGGACACCACAACAUGGAGAAGGCAAGCAUUUGAGUCUUGACCGAACAACAGGAAAAAUCACUAUGUCACUUGUGCUUAAUUUUUUGUGAUUGUUCUUCCUCUCUGUAUGUUCUAUCUUUCAGUUGCAAUAUUGCUCUUAGUUUAUUACAUAUCUUGAAAGAGGAAUCAAGUGAAGAGAACUUCUCUCUUUUUCUCAUUACAACUUGGUCCUAUUUUGCACUAACUCUUAAUUUGGACCAACUCCGUGUUUGAUGUUGUGUUUUGCAGGCAUCACCUAUUCACUCCUCUCUAGGUGACUCCUAGUAAUGAACUAGGUGAGUGCCCGUGCGUUGCUACGGUUUUUAUAUAUAUCAUAUAGAUAGACCUCGUUUAAAUGACACACUUAUUCAAACACAAUUAUAUUUUUUAUUUUAAUUUUUUAAUAUUUUUUACAAUUUCAAUUCUUUAAUAACCAAACUGAAUCUGCAGUACAGUGGCCGAGCAGUAUAUAUUUGGCGAGGUGACACCAAAACAACAAGCAAGUAGAUGCAUCCCAAAUGGUAAAACAAUAAAAUACAAAUGGUAAUUUAAAAGUUCAGCCACACAAUAUUAUGUACAUAACAGUAGUGAAAGUUAGGCACACCUAAAUAUGUAGUACAACUGAACAUUGUGACGCUCCAACGACAUGUAAAUACAUUUAGCAAUUCAACAUAAUAGUGGAGAGUGAACACUGUUUCAAUAAUAAUCAACCUAGUCACCGAUUUAAGAGUGCACAUAUAACUUAAAACAGUGGAUAAACAUAUAUGGUGCAUGAAGAUAUUAUCUUAAAAUACUCCUUUUGGUUCAAUUGAAUCUGUUUUUUGCUUCAUGAGUUCCAUCAACUGAAGGACCCUUUCAGGUUUACCACCCUUAUUAAAUGCUUCCAUCAGGGAUGAAUAGACAAUAUAGCAUCUGGUUGUGUGCCAUUACAUUCCAUCUCUGAAUAGGUCACAUGGUCUCGUCCAGCUCCCUUAUGAGUUAUGAUCAUAUGGAACACGAGAUUAAAUAAUAAUUUAAAACUACUGAAAUAUUUUAUCAUCCAAAGAUUCUUACCAUCAUCAUUAUAGGCUUUAAUCAAUGUCGUAAAUGUCAACACAUCAGUGAAGCAACCAGAUUCACUCAGAAUUAAAAGUAGAUGCUGCUUCAAUUAGUUUGCACUGAAUUAAAGCCAUUGUUAGAAUACUAAUUCUUUACAGUGAGCCAGAGAGAUAAUCCAACAACAUUUGCCUGUUUGACAUAUGAGAAAUCACGAACCAGUAGACUUCCUUGGUCAAAUGAAUUUUUAGGUCCAUCAUGUCUUCAAAAAAUUGCAGACACUCUACAUUCCUUCCCCAUUUACAAGAUCCACUAAAGAGUAUAUUGUAAGUCACAAUAUCUAGUUUCACAUUGUCUGCCCUCAUUUCACAUUGUCUGCCCUCAUUGGGACAUACCUUUCCCCAUAUAUAAAAAUGACAAUCAUUGGGACAUACCAAAAUUUUUAUCAGAAGGUAAACAAAAUAUUAAAAUAACAAUAACUAACAUGGUAUCUCUACGUACCUCUACUGAUCGAGGUCGAGUUUUUUUGUAUGAAAUAGUUGUAUGGGUUUGUUCUUUUUUCUAUAAUGAUACACAACUGUCUUUUCGAUUCUAGGUACGUCUAUCCAGUCAUAGAAAAGCUCACCGAACAGAUAUUGAAAUAUAUGGAGAUUGCUAACAUAAUCGAUAAAUAAAACAAGUAUAAAAAUAAAAGAUUUAUAUGCAUCAUAUCAGCAAUCACAUGUUACGGGUAAAAGAGAGUAAUUCUAUGCAAAUAAAAUCCAUGGAUGCUGCUACAAAGGGGGGAACAAAAUAUCUACAUAGUAACUUCAUCCUCAUUUGAUCUGCUCUAUUUCAGUGCAUCUUGGGAACACAAUCGGCACCAUAGAUGAUUGAAUUAGUGAUAACCAGAGAGGGGGCAGGCUGGAGCAUGGUGUACCGUGAGCUAACAGGGAAGUUGUUGAUGGCACCAUGUUGGCAUGUUCAUUUUAGAAACAUGAUUUUUUCCAGAUUUUAACAUUAGCCAGGAAAACUACUUAGUAAAUAACAGGAAAAUGGGAACAACCAAGAAUGGAGAUGGUGCUUUAAUUACCGAAAAAACCGAAUAAUGAGGCGGUGCUCUUCCUUCAUAGCUUCACGAUAGGCUAAGUCCAAUUUUUUGUUUCUAUUUGUGGUUCUAGCCCAAACAGAAAAACCUGGUAUUUGCGUACUCUGGAAAAAAAAGUCAGGCUUAUUGUAUAACUCAGGACCAACUCCUGUAGUAGGCUUGUCAUCCUCCGAUUGCAUCUUAAGCUUAGUUGUAAGGAAGUCAAGCAGACCAUUGCAGUUGCAAAUAACUGCAUUACCCCUUCCCUCAUGUGCCCUUUCUCGAUCAAGAUAGAACUUCUACCAUUAAGGCCAAAGCUAGUGAAGGAUCCCCCAUAAUUAUUGGCAUGUGGGAACAUUCCACCAUGAGAGAAACCCUUUCCAUAGAAGUUGGUUGUGGAUCCCAAACCAUAGAACGACUUUUGGUGAAGCAAUGGUUGAAAUUGGGGGAGAAACAGAUAAAUAUCAGAAGAAAGAUCUACAGGUAAAUAAAUUCAGUUAUUUAUGAAACUGUAUAUUCCUAUCUUUUAUUUCUUUAGAAGAAAAACAAGGGAACAUAGUAGCAACACAAAGCCUAUUAUAGCCUUGAUGCAAUGCUGAACUAAAUCGAUGCUCUAAAAAACCAAUGCAGUUGAACUGAUGAUGCUACUAAAAAUUCGAGGAAGGAAACCAACUUCUCUGUAGAAGUUUAUAGUUACCAAUUGUUAACUUCAACCCAUCAAUAGAGUUUUAUAGUUGGUGAGUUCUGCCCUCCAUCUGUGAAAGCCUUGAGCUUACACCUUCCAUGCAUGCAAGAGGUUAUCAAAGCACUUCUUCAUGGUUCGAUCAAUAUCUACAAUAGUAACUGUAGGAAUGUUACUCCUGUCUUCCUCAUCUAUCCAGCAUAACAAAGAUUGUAAGUAUAUAAUAAAGGAGAUGUUAUUGAUGUCAUCGCUUUGAAGUUUUGAACCAUCAAUAAUGAACAGUUAACCUGUUCAGCAGAUGGAAAAGGGGCUCGUCAUUCCACUCCUUGAGGCACUUGAGUUGUGGAUCGAUGUGCUUGCCCUAGUUGAUGGCAACGAGCACCUUGUUAAUCUCCUCGUCGGGAAAGCACAUCUUCUCGCCGAUGAGGUACACGACUCCGAGCUCCUCGUGCAUGAAGUGGUAGAGUGGGUAGGAGCGAUACUCGGUAAUUCUGUUGGGUAUCACUCUUGUGUCGUGUUCGAUAGCCGCCCGUGUAGCCUCCACCGCGCAGUGCAGGUGCGACGGACACAGCGAGAGGAGGCCGAGAUAUCCACCGUCCCUCGCGCAGAUGAUGGUGGCGUCGGUCGCUCUCCCACGCACGUGUGGCGUUCCUUGCGGCACUAGUACGGAGGACUCCACGUAGUGCGGGUGCGGCGGACGCAACGGGAGGAGAUCUGGAACCGGUAGCCAUGGGUAGAGGUGCGGGAGAGGACACAGAGUGAUGGGAAGGAGAAGAGAGAGGUGGGCAUCAGCAGAAGCGCGAUCGAGGGGCACAGAGAGCAGGGAGGUGGCAGCGGCUAGAAGCAGAGGUAGGGGUUAGGUUUUGACCCCACCCUUACUUCCGCCUGAUCCGGGCCCAAUAACGACCACAGAGUGAGGCAGAUGCGACGGAGGGGGAGGAGUCGGGACAAGCUAGGGAUUGGGACUCACCUUCGAUGAAGAUAGAGACCGAGGGCCAGCCAGCCUGCUCCUUCACCAUGGGCCAUGAUCCGGACGACAAGCACGACGACUAAGGCGCAACAGGGGCACCUAGGCACACCAUCACGAUGUGGAUGGCCUCCUCCGAGGGGGCGGGCGCAGCGUCAAGACGGACAGGGAUGGUGGGCGCGGACGGUGGUUGUUGCCCGCGGGAGGGGAGGAGGGUUACGGUGUCGCCUGACGGGCAUCACAGUGCGGCGUCGCUAGAAUCGAGCCUUCGGGAGACGGGGUAGGGGCAUGCACUGCUAAAAUUGCGAGAUUCGACAGCCAGGGCGGGGCACGAUGAAGGUGUGCACACCCUCGUUAGACUCAUAUGGAAUAGUAGAGAUAGGAGCCUCUCACCAAUGAUCAAUGGGCAUAAAACCGGUAUUUUUUUGUCAAACCCCACUAUGAACGGUCGUAGAAUACCGGUUCAAAACCCACUAAGAGCAAUAUUGCAACCGAGGGCUAACACCUAUAGAUUUUUCACGAAAAUAGUCCAGCAAAAAUUCAAGAAUAUGAUUUAUGGCAAGAAGACAUGUGUUCGAUAUGGAAUAGCAGCCUCUCGACGAUGAUCGAUGGGCAUAUGACUGAUAUUUUUGGUCAAAAUCGCUAUGAAUGACUGUUUCGGCAUGACGACUAACACCUAUGGAUUUUUCAAGAAAAAAUGUUCUCCACCAAAACUCUGAGAUUGUAAUUUAUUGUAAAAACAUAUAUGUGAUAAAUAAUAAGAGCCUCUCGCCAACGAUUGAUAGGCAUACAACUGGUAUUUUUGCCGAUAUUGGCCAUGGACGAUCGAUUUUUGGCCAUUGGCCAAUAGAUCUUUUAGAAAUAAUGGUCUCCACCAAAAUAACAAGAAUGUGAGUUAUAGCAAGGAAAUGCAUCAGGGGUAAGGAAUAUAAGCCUCUCGCAGAUGAUCCAUGCGCAUGCAGCCAACAUUUUUGACUAAAACCCAGAAUGAACAAAUGGUUUUGUAAAUAUCAAGGCUAACAUCUAUGAAUUUUUUCACUAAUUAAUGGUGUCCACCAAAAGUCCAAUAAUAUAAUUUAUGGCAAGAAAACAUGAGUGUGGUAAGAAAUAAGACCUUCUCGUUGAUGAUAAAUAGGUAUAUGAUGGACAACUUUUUUUAUCAAAAUCCACUACGAACGGUGGUUUUCGACACUACUGAAAACUAAUACCUAUGAAUUUUUUACGAAGAUAUAGUCUCCACUAAAAAUCUAAGAAUGUAAUUUAUUCAAAAAUGUGAUUUAUGACAAGCAAACAUAUGUGGGAUAAAGAAUAUUAGUGUCUUAUUGAUCAUCAAUAGAUAUACAAUCGGUAUUUUUUGUAAAAAUUGGCUAUGAACAAUAGUUUUCGGCAAUACUGAAGAGUAAUAUCUAUAGAUUUUUCAUGAAUAAAUUAUCUCCACUAAAACUCCAAAAAUGUGAUUUAUGACAAAAAAAUAUCUGGGGUAAGGAAUAAGAGUCUUUCGCCGAUAAUCAAUGAGAAUAUGACCGAUAUUUUCGCCAAAAACAACCAUGUAUUGUUGUUUUUCACAGUACUGAAGACUACCACGUAUGAAUUUUUCACAAAGAAAUAAUCCUCACUAAAAACAAAAUUGUGAUUUAUGGCAAUAAAACAUGUUAAAGAAUAGAGGCAUCUCACCGAAGAUGGAUAUACUACCAACAAUUUUUGAUGAAAAAUGUCAUGUAUGAUACUUUUUUGGUAAUGUUGAUGGCUAAAGAGCCUAUCGCCAAAGAUCAAUAGACAUACGACCAACAAUUUUGGCUAAAAAAAGCUAAUAAAUGGUAUUUUUUGGUAAUACUAAAGCCUAACAAAUACAUUUUAAAAAAAAUGGUCUUCAUCAAAACUAUAAAAGUAUAAGAAUGUGGUUUAUGACAAAGAUAAGUACGUUAAAAAGAAAUGAGCCUCUCACUAAAAAUCGAUAUACAUAUUGCCAACAUUGUUAGCUAAAACUCGCUAUGAACGACCGUUUUUGGACUACUGACUACAGAAUGCCAACUAUGGAUUCAGCGUAAACACUAUGGCCAAUGUAGUUUUUUUUUAAAAAAAAAACACAUAUAUACAAUUGGUUGCUUAAGCGCUUUUCUUGAAGCCUAAGCAAAGGAUAAUUAUUUUAAAAAAUAUAUCACUGGGUUCUGCUUGUUUGUACAGAUGAUUAUCAUGACAGUUGUCUACGCAAAAUAAUAGGGGUACUGUAUUUCAAAUCCAGAUAAUACUUCCAACUUGACAACGGCAGCAAUUUACCCUGCCAACAAGAGCCCCUCAAUAGAAAAUAUUUCUCAGAAUGUUGCUAUCACGGGAUCCCUUUUCCAUCAUCAGAACAAGACAUCUGUUGAGGCUAAACAAACGCCAAAUCGUCCAUGAAUCCUUACAAAAAACACCGCCAAAAAAACUCAUCCAUGUAUGCAGGUUUGUUGAACCUUUCAAGUAGGAUUUGGUCCAUCGUGCCAAAGUAAAAAUAUCAGAGUCCUCUUCUGUAGAGCCCUUUGUCCAUCCUCAUUUCCCAGAACUAAAAAUCCCAAACCUUUUAGGCGAGUCGGUAUUACCAGGAUUACCAUCCAACUUCCUCUGCUCAGAUGAUCCAGAUUUCUGAGUACUACUGAAGAUCCCAAAACUCUUGCUUGCUCGAUUAGGAUCACCGCCACCUGCUGGUUGCCUUUGGUUGUUAUUUAGUGGAAAAGAACUUCUCCUUUCGUUCCUUGGAUCUUGUUGUGAUAAUCCACCUUGGUUGAACCUCGGUAACGGCCGGUUAUGCUGCUGUUCAAGAGGUCUCUGGUUCUCAUAACGACCUCCAUUUUCAUUCCUUCUAUCACCUUGAGGGGGUAUUCCUUGGCUGCUGUCUCCUCUUAUUGGCUGCCUCCGAGCGGCGUAUCUGUUGGUUUCAACAGGACCCUGAUCUUGCACUCGCUUUUCCAUGCCAGGUUGCACAUCUCGUGGUCCCCUCUGGCCAGGAUUAUUUCUGUUUCCCCCAGCCCCUGGGUUGGAUUUUGGCCAAUUGAACUCCCUUUUAAAUUCUCUAUCGUGCCCCUCCUUUUGGGCAGGGGAGUCUCUGGAGAGACGGGUGGCUGUUUCCUUAACACGAUCUGAGAUGGUACGAUCAUCAGGUUUCCCGAGACCAUGUCCAACUGCCAUGUCUUCGGUAUUGCUGCCAUCAAUGGGUGACUCUGGGACAGCACUGCUGGUACCUUUUCCUGCAUCUUCCAUGGCCUGGCUAGCUUUCUUCCCACCUUUCUUUGUUGCAAACUUCACAUGCCUGACAAUAACAUACGCAUGCUUCGAGUCCAGGUGUGGUCCACUUUCGACAAUGCACACAUCUUGUAUCUGUUCAAUUGAUGGGAAUUACUGAAAGAAAUGUGCUUUCACAGGCAGCAGCCUUGAACAUGUUGCCGUGACCUUAACUAAUAUCAAAUGGAACAAAUGGCAUUUGGGAGCAACAGGGAGACAAUAAGGUGUAGAGUACUCACAAGUCCUAACAACCGAGAGAGUGGUGUUCCUAAAUCUUCUCCUUCAUUACCUGAGGGCAUGGCCAUGCACUGCCAAACAGAAAGGACAUUUUGAUUUUCAGAGUUUAAUUUCAAAAUCGAGGAUAAAUAUAUGAAUAUGAUUACAAACGCAAAUUGCAGAUAUACUGAAAAAGAACAGCUGAGGAUUCAGUUGGCCAAAUCGACAACACCCAGUUCAUCUGGGAAAUGGAUAUAGGCAUGGUCAUUCAGAGGCCAUCGUAAAAAUGAUGCCCACAUCAAGUAUAUAAGGCCACCAAUUGUACUCCACUGAGUAAGAAAGAGUCAGUGUGGCCCUAAUCCUACUCUGGUCAUAAUGUAUGGAUUCUGCAUUACAUCAGGAAUACCAAAUCCCACCCUCACCCACACUAAAUGGAUAAAAAAAAAAGCAAACAACCCAAGCUAUACAAAAGAACGGACAUAAAACCUGAGGCUGAACCAAGCAAGACAUAACAGAUUAUGCUAAUACUUUAUAACAUCCACAUAAUUCCUUUUUUAUUAUCACUAUGUACUAUUUAGUUACCUUGUUUUUGUGUACGUAAAUUUGUUUGGGAUUGUCCAGCAAACAUAACGAGACAAUUGUUAACAACCAAAACCCAAAGUUUUUCCUUUGGUGUUGUUGGAAAUGAGGUGUAUUAGAGAUUCAAAAGAACCCAAAGGUCUUCCUUCAAUAGAAGGUUUAUUUGUCUGAUACCAAAACAACAGAAAUUCAUUGGGUUGUCAAUGGGUAUUUGCAGAAUUAAAAAGAAGACAAACUCACCUUCACCCUGUAACCCCGCUCCAUUAAUCUGGUAAUCCCAUCUGCCUUCACCAUCAAAUCUUUUAGUUCCUGCACAGAAAAGCUAAUGCAUGUCAAUAAAGAUUCAUGUCACAGGGUCUUCAUAAUGAUCCCAAUGCACAUAAUGGGUGAAGUUUUCAAAUUUCAGAAAAGUGGGACAAAUUAAAUCAGGCGUUAGGUAUAUAUAUUAGAUCCAAAAAACAGAAUAUAAACUUUCCUGCAAAUUAUUUCCCUCUCUAUUUUAUGGAAUGAUAUGCAGCUCUCAUGUGUGUUCAAGAGAGAGAAAAAAGUGGGACAAAUUAAUUCCCUCUCUUUUAUGGAAUGAUUUGUGGCUCUCAUGAGUGUUCGAGAAAAGUGGGACAAAUUAAUUUCCUCUCUUUUUAUGGAAUGAUACGCAGCUCUCCUGCAUCUUCGACAAGAAAAAAAAAAGCAGUCCAAACAAGCCAAUACUCCAGUUAGGAGGUGCAAAUAAAGUCUGCAUGUGACUAAAACCUGAUAAACUAUUAUUGCCAACGAGAUAGGUUGCAACUUGCAACCACCUAAAUAAUAGAAAAAAUACUCACAGUCUUCCCCUUAAAUCGCACUUCUUUGUUCUCCCCACCACGUAAGACAAUAGCAGACUGCAAAAAUCAGGCAGAGAUCCAAAGUUUAAAAACAAGCAGAACAGGUCUACAAUAUAUGUUGUGAGCCAUGCAAAAGUACAUACACCUAUGGUAGGAGAUAAUAUAGUUAACACUCUUUUGCAUAGAUCCGAGCUUAAAUGCUUACUACUACUUAGAAGGCUCAAAUGCUGCAGAAGUUAGAGAUGGCAGACCUAAAAGAGUGCCAAAAAAUUCUGGUUGUUUUCAGUCAACCAGAAAGGUACCUCACUAGUGAUUACACACCUUAUAGAACUUGUCAAUAUCUAAUUGACAUAGACAAGUAUGUGAACAGUGAUCCAUCUAAACGGAUGCCAAGGCUUUCAUGAAAAUUCUGAACCUACCUGUCAUUUGUAAAGACUAUUGUUACACCGGUGCAACCUACAUGAGUCAAGCUCCCUGUAGGAGUCAAACCGAUGCAAUGAACUGUUUUGUUUAUCAUAAAACUAGCUAGAAGAAAGAUAUGACAAUAUAACUGUAUUUGUUGCAUAACUUGGAUGCCUAUACAAUUGAAAGUGCACUUAUACUGAUGCGAUUCUAAUUCCUAUGGUUGAAAAAAGAAAGACAAAGUUCACUGUACAAGUUUAAAUACCUUGGUUUUCAAGCGUUCUUUCUCCUUGGUUUCUUUCUUAUACUUCUCUCUGUGAAAAUCCAUGAUUUUGCAUACAGGUGGGUCUGAUUUCCUAUCGACCUGGACAAGAUAACAAUGAGCAUGAAGUUAAUUUAUCUAUUACUACUUAUUAAGAAGCUAACAAGUGCGUCCACACCUUGCCCCCGCCCCCGCCGUACCCCCGCCUCUGUUCUCUCCCACACCCGCACAUGGAACCUGCCCCCGCCACAGAUCUUGUCCACAACCGCGCAGGCAUGCGCAUGGACCCAGCCCCCGCCGCCGUGCCCGCGGACCGCGGAUGCACCCAGUCCCCGUCGUGCCCCUGCCCCCGCCCACGGAUCUCGCCCACAACCGCGCACGCACGCGCAUGAACCCAGCCCCCGCCGUCGUGCCUGCGGAUAUCGCCUCCCUCAACCGCGCAUGGAUCCAGCCACCGAUGCACGCCCGCGGUGCCCACGGCUACCCUAAACCGCCGCCGCCGCUGCCGAUUGCUCGAGCUCGCUUCUUUACGGCGGUUCUGCAUCUGCGUGCUGAUAUCUUCUUGUCCUGUUCUCUCGUUCUGUGCUUCUGUGUUUUUUUCCUAUUUUUCUCUCAACUGUACGAGGGAUUGGUUCGUAGCUCGGGUUGAUGAUGAUUUGGAUCUGAAAGGAUCUUAGCGGAUUUCGGUGAGGCGGAUUCGUCCGCCGCUGAUCGCCUUAUGUUGUUACACACACUGAAGCCCUUUCGACGCGUCUCUCAGAUUGGUUCUUUUCCCCUUUCGUCUCUUUGUCUAAUUUCUCACUGGAUGUUGCUGCAAUGCGAUGAUGAUUCAUAACAUGGUUUUGGCAGUGGUUACCCCUUGUGGUCACCGUGAGCCGUCAAACCUGAUAACGACUUCUCUUUCCACUGAGCAUUGCGAAUAAAAUGCAGCGUAUUAUCAUCGGGCAAUUGAAUUCAUCAUCAAAUACAUACUGGUUCUAGCAAAAAAAAACAGAUAAUUUCACGUGAGUCUGAAGUUUCUGAAAACUCAAUGCAGCUUUCAUGGAAGUGACUUUAUGGCACCUGCCAAUUACCAGUCGCCCCAUUUUUUUAGGAACGAACGCACCUUUCCUCAACACGGCCCGAAUCGCACAGCCAAGGCCAAACAAAUUAUUGGAUAAAACCCGCAUGCAGUAUCGUCUGACAGCAGGGAGGUAAUUUUAAUUUCAGAUUUCAGAUUAGAAGUUACAACUUGACAGCAUAUUUCUACACGUUGAGCUCCAUCUCCAACUCCAGCUCUCUCCACUUUUUGUGCUGCAGCAGCUUCAGCGCCACCCGUUGCUUCACCUUGCCGCCUGAAACCACAACAGCGCCGUCCCUGACCAGAGCGUUAUCCACCGGCCGAUCUGAAUGUAGCCUGCCUAGCAGUUCCGAGUUUCUGCGGCAGGGUUGAUCAUUGUUUGAUCAAGUCGUCCUUGGCCAUUAUCAGAUUCGGGCAGCAUUGCGAGUUCCAUGUUGGCUACCUUCAUGUUUGUGUUGAUGCCUUUGUAGCAAGUCGCUACCUGGUCGCAUUUCCAUGAAAUAACGAUGAGGGAAUUGUUUGUUCUAGGUUUGGUAAUGUAUUUUCCAGGUUCUGAAAAAUGAUUCAUGAGUUCAUAGCCUUAAUAACAUUUACUACUCAAUGUUAUACUAAAAGAAUGUAUUGACAUUGUGCUCAACCACAAUAUGCAAAGUAGAUCCUUCGUGCCCCUUUGUUGGUUAGUGAGCAAUAUCGCCUCCAGACAUAAUCAGGGAUCAUGUUAAAUGCAUCAACAUUAUGUCUUACCUCAAUAAUUCCAAAAGGGAUAACUCUUACUCCAUACCGUUAUUUCUCAACAAAGGGGGCAUAUGUUCAAAUAUUAGGCUCAAGCAUGGCUCAUUUUUUAAUAUCAAACGAUUUUGGGCGCAAUGAUUUUGGCCCUUUUGAUAGGCUACCAAGCACUGGUAAUUUUUACUACUAAAUUAUGCAAUACUUGUGAACUAAAUUAUUGAAAUGUCAUUGAGACAUCAAAUACCGCCGCGACAUUCUCUUGUAUUCUGGAAGUUCACAGGCUUAGAUACAUAGGAAUCCAUGCCUGCACCAAGACAUUUAUCGGCACUCUCUUGCUAGCAGUUACCAGCAGAUCUUUGCACAUUCAAAUUUGAAGGCUUGAUGAAGGUUAAAAUAAACACCAGAAGGUCGAACAUGUUCCUUGCCUCCCCACGUUUAGGGUCGGAGGGAGCUUUGGAUUAGUCUGAGCAUUUCUACAGAUUGCUUGAUGACGUUUGAUUCACUGGAUCAUGAGUUUUUGUUCCUACUAAUAUUGUUUAAACUGUAUAUUGUGGUGACUCUCCUCUAGAAGUAGUUGUUGAAGACUGAUGACAUCUUGUAAUAUUUUCAUUUCUGCUAAUAUGUUGCGGGGUUGUGAUUUUUUAGAUUGGCUAUGAUUAAUAAGACAUGGAGCCACUUUACCCAAGCAGGUCACCAAGAACGGUCCGACCCUGCCGAGUGGAAGAAGCUGCAGGGAGUGGACAUGGAGGUGCAUCGGGUAGACAUGUAUGCAAGGAAAAUUGAUGGUUGGAAGGGUGUUUUGAUGGAAACUGAAGUUGCCACUGCC